rnacentral:rRNA from 1 species
AAUGAACGCUGGCGGCGCGCCUAAUACAUGCAAGUCGAGCGAGAAGACGUAGCAAUACGUUUGUAAAGCGGCGAACGGGUGAGGAAUACAUGGGUAACCUACCCUCGAGUGGGGAAUAACUAGCCGAAAGGUUAGCUAAUACCGCGUACGCUCCUUGGACUUCGGUUCAGGGAGGAAAGCGAUACCGUGGGUAUCGCGGCUCUUGGUUGGGCUCAUGUCCUAUCAGCUUGUUGGUGAGGAACGGCUCACCAAGGCUUCGACGGGUAGCUGGUCUGAGAGGACGAUCAGCCACACUGGCACUGCGACACGGGCCAGACUCCUACGGGA